rnacentral:rRNA from 1 species
GACGAACGCUGGCGGCGUGCCUAAUACAUGCAAGUCGAACGCAUUUUCUUUCACCGUAGCUUGCUACACCGACAGAAAAUGAGUGGCGAGCGGGUGAGUAACACGUGGGUAACCUGCCCAUCAGCGGGGGAUAACACUUGGAAACAGGUGCUAAUACCGCAUAAUUCCAUUUACCGCAUGGUAGAUGGGUGAAAGGCGCUUUUGCGUCACUGAUGGAUGGACCCGCGGUGCAUUAGCUAGUUGGUGGGGUAACGGCCUACCAAGGCUGCGAUGCAUAGCCGACCUGAGAGGGUGAUCGGCCACACUGGGACUGAGACACGGCCCAGACUCCUACGGGAGGCAGCAGUAGGGAAUCUUCGGCAAUGGACGCAAGUCUGACCGAGCAACGCCGCGUGAGUGAAGAAGGUUUUCGGAUCGUAAAACUCUGUUGUUAGAGAAGAACAAGGAUGAGAGUGGAAAGUUCAUCCCUUGACGGUAUCUAACCAGAAAGCCACGGCUAACUACGUG